AUUGCCUGGGAAACUAAGUCACGUGAGAACAUGAGGCCUCUAGGUGCGGGAACCUGACCUGAGCUGGGGCCUGUGCUUCCAGUGGGUGAUGGGGGGGCCUGGUGUGCUGGCAUCAGGUAAGCGGACUGCCUCGGCAAAGGCUUAAGGACAAGAGACCGGCAGCCUGAACUGGCUGGGGCAUCCGGAAGGCUUAGAUCUUGUGGCCAAGAGUUCAGACCGCGGUGAAGUGGAGAGUGACAUGAAGUUGAAUGGUGCUGACUGCGUGGUCCCGCAACCCAGGUUUCAGUCUGGCAAGCAUUCUAGACCUGGCUGCUGAAGACUGACGGGGUCCAGGGUCUGCUGCCCCCACCGCCUUCACCACCUCAGAACCCAGGGUAACGCUGUCAGUCUCUGAGCCUACAAGGAAGCCAUUCGGAAGCUCCAGAACCCAGGCCCUAAUCACGGCGCCCCUAUCCAGCAGGAAGCAGCCAGAUGAUCAACGACGCCCUUUUUCCUUUUUAUACUAAAGUAAGAAAUAAGAAUAUUAGCCCAAGCUGCACUAUUUUGCAGACCCCCACCAUUUUACAAACUGGUCAGAGUGGAAAAUUCCACCAGGGCCUGAGCUGUGAGAAACAUCCUGUCAGAGAGUCCCAGGCCUAACCCCUGGCUGCACUAAAUUCCUUCAUUAUCAGCAGCCAAACACACCGCCCCCACCCCAUUUUCACAACAAUCCUAGACCUCUCCUGCCCGGACCUAUAACUGAUCCAGCCUGUAAGUGGGAAGGGGGCUCUGGCACUAGCUGGUACCCCCUCUCCGCAGGUCUUUCUCCCAAUAAAUUUGUGUUGCCAUUGA